CUGGGACCAUCCGAUCCGGGAACACCGUCUCCUUCGACAUCGCCGUCCCCGUCAACUUCGCCCUCGACAUCCUCUUCGCUGUCGCCCGAUACGCGACCGCUCUCCGAUUCUACAGCAGAAAUGACGAUUCUAAAAUUACUUCGUUACGCGACAAUGGAAUCACAUCAGCUUUUCUAUUCAUUGGCUAUCGGUCGACCAAAGUGGAUCACCCCAAGUGGAUUUUGCGUUGUACACGGUAAGGGCGGGUCGUCAUGCAAGAGUCAAACAGCAGCAGAAGCAGCAGCGCAGCGCAGCGGUAAAAAGAGCUUCAGAAAAAAGAGAAGAAAAAAAAUUGAUCGUAUAGACCGAGAAUCGUUGAACCGUGUAUUUGGUGAACGUCGAUAUUUUCUAUAAGAUAUCGUCGGUGCGCGGAUUUUUGGAAACGUUUCAAUUCGGUCCAUUCGUCGAAACUAGGAUUUCGCGUAUCGACAUAUCGAACUGACAUCGUGUACACUGCGGCAAAUGUACCAUACUAUAAGGGUCAAUACGAGGCGCUGUAUGCACGCAUACUGGAGGAACAGCAGUAGCAGUUAGCGUUUGGUAUAUCAUAAAUGAAUGAUAGGUUCUCAGAACGAUUACCCAUAUGAAUACAAAAUAGUGUCGUCGGCGGGACAUCAAUUGCAGGUAUAACUCGCACGACAAUCUCUCAUUCACGCCGGUACCCCGAAAAUACGUGACUCCUCAAUGUUAUAAUACGCUAUUCUCCUUCGAUUUAUUUUAUUUUAUUCAUUUAUUUUUUUAUUUUUUUUUAUUUUUUUUAUUUUUUUCUUUUAAUUCUUAUAUUCCAGCUCACCCCUUUGUAAUUCUUUCUUUUAAUCUUUCCUCCUCAUUCUAAUUCACUCGCGCGCGUUACAUGUACAGCCCUAUCGAAUAUCUAUGUACAUUUAUUACUUGUACACGUUACUUGGACUCCAAGAAAUAAUUUAGAUUGAUGUUUAUCGCCGUUUAUUAUAUUCUAAUACAAUCAUCGUAUCGUGCGGGGGUGCAAGUUUAUUGUAAUUUAAAAACGGUAGCUAUAUAAGCGGAAGCAUAAACAACAAGUUUGAUUGUAUAUUAAUAGCACCGGUCGUGGAAUGCAUAUCGUUUAAAGGUAUAUCUUGAUUAUAAUAUAUCCUAUAUACCAUGCGGUUGUUUGACAUUAAUUCUUAUACAUAUAUAAGGUAUAUAAGUAUGUAAUAUUUUGCUCUCUCGUUCACUGCUGCAUUCUAGCUGUUAUUUAUUUAUAUUGUAACUAUUCUAUUAGUUGUUUGGUGUGCACCAUGGCGUGAAAAAACUUGUGCAUCGGAAUGACGAACGCGUCAGACAUCACGAUGUGUGAUUAUAUAAGCGACAUGCUGCUGCACAUUUGACACGCUGCAGCAGCUGCAUAUGCUGCACAACAACAGCACCACCGCCGCCGCUAUACCCGCGAUCUUCGCAUUUUGAUCGGUGAUCGAUAAUCGAAAAUCGAUAAUCAUAUUCAAAAAGCUACUGUGCAGUGAGUGUAUAAAAUAUUACAUUAUAUGUACACAUUUUUAUAUACCAUUGUUCGAACUUAUAUCAGACUCGCCGUGAAUUUUUUGAAGAGCGACUGAAAAGGGGGGAAAAAAUAAAAAAAAAAAAAACACAAUUACACAUUCAAUAGAAAUGUUUAACAUACGUGAAUAUUGUUUGCGAAGAAUGCAGGAGUUCGCGUGUGCAAUGAGAUAACGUAUAGGUACUUCAAUUCUUCAAUUUACGUGCAAAUCGUCAAAUGUUGAUUUUUGUCCUUGUUUUCAGGGUUUGGAAUCAGCGCAGCUGACUCACAUAUCAUUCUAGAAAUAUAUCGAGAAGAAUUGCGUGCCUGAAAUCUCACCUAGGUGCAGCAGUGAUGUCGAUGGAUGAUCGUGGAGAGC